rnacentral:rRNA from 1 species
GCAGUCGCAAAAACUUCACAAUGAGGGAAACCCCGAUGAGGGAAUUCCAAGUGCCAGCACAUUGUGUUGGCUGUUCUUUGGUCUAAAAAACCAGAGAAGUAAGGGCCGGGUAAGACGGGUGCCAGCCGCCGCGGUAAUACCCGCGGCCCAAGUGGUGGUCGAUAUUAUUGAGCCUAAAACGUCCGUAGCCGGUCUUGUAAAUCCUUGGGUAAAUCGACCAGCUUAACUGUUCGAAGUCCGGGGAGACUGCAAGACUUGGGAUCGGGAGAGGUGAGAGGUACUUCUGGGGUAGGGGUAAAAUCCUGUAAUCCUAGAAGGACCACCGGUGGCGAAGGCGUCUCACUAGAACGAAUCCGACGGUGAGGGACGAAGCCCUGGGGCGCAAACGGGAUUAGAUACCCCAGUAGUCC